AGGAGCCAUGGGCCAGCGGCGGGGUGAUAAUAGGGGGUGGAAGCGGUGUUCGGAAUUACAGGGCGUAAGUGGAGGGUAGGCGGUGUGGUAAGUCGGAUGCGAAAGCCCCGGGCUCAACCCGGGAAGUGCACUCGAUACUGCAAGACGUGAGUACCGGAGAGGUUGGUGGAAUUCUCGGUGUAGAGGUGAAAUUCGUAGAUAUCGAGAGGAACACCGGUGGCGAAGGCGGCCAACUGGACGAGUACUGACGCUGAGACUCGAAAGCGUGGGGAGCAAACAGGAUUAGAUACCCUAGUAGUC
rnacentral:rRNA from 1 species